UAAAGAUCAACAGCACCUACUCAGGAGGAGAUAAGAACAUCAGUUACAGCUGAGGGCGGAGCUGUUUACCUCAGAAAUAGCAUGGCGAUCUUGAACUUUGCUGGAGCCCAAAAGGCGAAGUACAUUCUUGGCCCCCUCAGACACAGCAUGUUCCACUUGGAAGUGAUGUCGCAGCUCUUCAAUCCUCAGCUCUAAGGCACUGAGAUCAGUGUUACCUGCAAUUAAUAGAGGAUCCUGAUCCCAGAGAAUCCAGACAAUUCACAGAAGUCUGUCCCUCCCAAAGUUCAUAAACAUGAAAAUGCUGCUUUGGAACCUGUUCAACCAACUGCUGCCAUCCUGG